rnacentral:rRNA from 1 species
GGGUGCGUAACACGUGGGGAAUCUGCCGAGAAGUGGGGGACAGCUCGCCGAAAGGCGAAUUAAUACCGCAUGUGGUUAGUGAAGACAUCUUCAUGACACCAAAGCCGGGGCAACCUGGCGCUUCUUGAUGACCCCGCGGCCUAUCAGCUAGUUGGUGAGGUAACGGCUCACCAAGGCUAUGACGGGUAGCUGGUCUGAGAGGACGACCAGCCACACUGGAACUGAGACACGGUCCAGACACCUACGGGUGGCAGCAGUCGAGAAUUUUUCUCAAUGGGGGAAACCCUGAAGGAGCGACGCCGCGUGGAGGAUGAAGGUCUUCGGAUUGUAAACUCCUGUCAUUUGGGAACAAUUGUCACCGAUUAACUGUCGGUGGCUUGAUAGUACCAGAAGAGGAAGAGACGGCUAACUCUGUGCCAGCAGCCGCGGUAAUACAGAGGUCUCAAGCGUUGUUCGGAUUCAUUGGGCGUAAAGGGUGCGUAGGUGGCGUGGUAAGUCUGGUGUGAAAUCUCGGGGCUCAACCCCGAAACUGCACUGGAUACUGCCUUGCUUGAGUACUGGAGAGGAGAUUGGAAUUUACGGUGUAGCAGUGAAAUGCGUAGAUAUCGUAGGAAGACCAGUGGCGAAGGCGAAUCUCUGGACAGUUACUGACACUGAGGCACGAAGGCCAGGGGAGCAAACGGGAUUAGAUACCCCGGUAGUCCUGGCAGUAAACGGUGCGCGUUUGGUGUGGGAGGAUUCGACCCCUUCUGUGCCGGAGCUAACGCGUUAAACGCGCCGCCUGGGGGAGUACGGUCGCAAGAUUAAAACUCAAAGAAAUUGACGGGGGCCCGCACAAGCGGUGGAGUAUGUGGCUUAAUUCGAUGCAACGCGAAGAA